GGGACGGGGCGGCGGGAGCGGCGGGCAGCGAGCGGGAGGCAGCAGGGACCGGGCGGCUGUGCCAGGAGCCGCGGGGCGUCCCCCAGGCAGGGGCCGUGCGGCCGCAGCGUAGCAAAAACGCGGAGCAGCGACAGAGGAGCGGCGCGGCCCGGCUCCGGAACGCGGCCGGGAGAGCUCCCCUGGAGGGGGAAAGGGCCCGGGGUUCCGGGGUUUCCCCUGAGGCACCCGAGCAGAUGGCCAAGGGUCCUUCUUCGCUGAGGGUGUUGGUAGGACUCCAGUGCAACAGCCGCUUCCACAAGCACGGCUUCGCUGCCGGUGGGAGAAGGCGGCAGGAGACGGAGCCUCGCAGCGCUGCCGAGCUGUCCCCACAGUGAGCACAGCGGCUUCUCCUCGGACGGAGGAGAGCACGAGAGCGAGGAGCUGCACCCAAUCCACCUCCCCCGGGCAAAUCUCGCAGCUUCUCUGCCCCUCCAAGAGAAACUCCUCAGAUAAGAGAGUAGCCAGCCGCACCCUCCCCGUGGCAACUUCUUUUGUCUCUCUUAAGUACUGGUCGUUACGGUUUCUUAGCGACAGCUGGGACGAAAUUCCAUGAGAGACAGAAGCACAAGGAAAAAUCCUAAACCCCAACAACAAGCGCUAUGCAGUAGUGUUUCUGCUGUGGGUCUCUUUUCCUGCCACGUCGGGAGCAAGGCUGGCGAGUGGUGUGCAGCCAGGAGUCAGGGGUGUGAAUAACCAGCAGAUUCCUGGGAGGAGAGCUGUGUACCUGAUCCUGCAGAUGCUGUGGGACGUCUGUUUGCAGUGAUGCAGGCUGAGCUGGCUGAGUAACACUGAACAUCUGCCUUAAGGCAAGUCACCUGGCCCAGCUCUUGAAACCACCAGCUUCAUUGGCAGCAAAUGAAGUCCUUGGCUGAAGAGAGAAAUCGAGGACUUAAAACUGUCUGUGCAGGAAACAGAGCCAGCACCAGACCUUGCCCCUGGCCCACAGAGACCCCAGGAAACCUGCAUCUGCCUCCAGCACCAGCCACCUCUCCAGAGCUCUGAGCAUCCUGCCAUGCAGCUUGGCUUUUGUUUGCCAGCUCAAGAGGAGUCACUGGGAAGAGAAUGAGGUCUGGGCUUUUUCUUUUUUCCCCUUGCCCUUUUAUUUAUUCUCCUCUAUUAAGAACCAGC